UACGUAGGGUGCAAGCGUUAAUCGGAAUUACUGGGCGUAAAGCGUGCGCAGGCGGCUCCUUAAGUCAGAUGUGAAAUCCCCGGGCUUAACCUGGGAACUGCGUUUGAAACUGAGGAGCUCGAGUGUGGAAGAGGGGGGUGGAAUUCCAGGUGUAGCAGUGAAAUGCGUAGAGAUCUGGAGGAACACCGAUGGCGAAGGCAGCCCCCUGGGCUAACACUGACGCUCAUGCACGAAAGCGUGGGGAGCAAACAGG
rnacentral:rRNA from 1 species